AUUAGUAAUAUUUUUCCUUUUACUCCUCCUCAGAUUUCACACUGUAUACCCAUUUUCCAACAACUCCUGUUUUAGAUGUCUAUCCAAGAGCUCAGCAAUGCUUUUUCUGAGAUGAAGUGAUUCAAGUAUUUUAAUAUAUUUUCACAAGAAAAGAAGCAGCAAAGAAUUUAACAGUUCAGUAGUAAGCAUAUCAGAAAACACUGGAAAAUUAAGUUUAAGAAUGUUAUGGAUACCUCAGUCUUGAAUGUGUAAGUGAAACUGAUGUAAAGUACAUGAGAAAGAUGCGAUUUCCCUGCCACUACUAUAGAAUUUAUACAGCUUUAAUCUUUUAAGAGUUCCCAAAUAGAACGACUGAGGAAUUACACUGUAAAGUGAUAUUUUUGGAAGGUUGAAAGUAAUUUUCUCCUGCCCCUGUUUCUUCGUAGCAUUUCCCUCCUCCCCCAUAUCUCUUCCUAAAAGACAGAACUGCUGGAGAACAGCCCCUCUCCCAUUUUUCUAAAUUCUCAUAUGGACAGGAGUUCCAGAUCCCUCCACAUUCUGGCCAUUUCAGAAGCACCUUUUCUACACUGUCCUUGGCAGCAUUCUGAAAUGCAAAGUCAAAUUGUCUCUCUAAGUGGUUGCUAUCCACUGGAGGCUCCUCACAACUCUGCCUUCAUGCAAAAAAUUCCAUGGAGUGAUGAGUGUAGAGGAGGAAAAGCAGCACUCACUGACACAUUCUCAAGCAUCUGCUGCCUCCACACCCACAGCAGUGUUUCAAACUCAGGAGCACUGGGUCUUUCCUUUCUUUGCCUUUGCCUUUGCCUUUGCCCUUGCCUUACCUUCAACAAGAACACAGACAUUAAGAAAAACGUAAGCCCGAAGCUCAGAGAUACUUUAUAUCCCAGGCUGGAAAGGGACAAGAGCAAGAGAACGCUCAGAUGAAACACCACUUUAUCCCUCUUUCUACAAGCCCAGUGGCACAGACACCCAUCUAAAUGCAGUCAGAGUUCAAGGACAAGCUUGGUUUUUACAGAAGAUCAGGACACACACUUACAUUUUCAAAGGGUCCAGAGAGGACUGUAAGAGCUUGGUGCAAUGUCUUAGAGAAGAAAGCAGCUUAGACAACACCAACAAAACACACCUUGGCCUGUCAUCACUUGGUCUCAGCUGGGCUGUGAGGUUUCUCUGGAAGAGCUCAGGCAUUUUUGGGAUUUAGUUUGCAAUGAUCCUGAACUGAAUACAGAAAACUAGAUUUGUGUGUACUCACAAAGUCUGGAGAUAUUGCAGUGCUGAGGAGGAGCAGAACCUCAUAAGAGAGCUGGAUGGAUUUGUACACUGGCAACAGAAGUCAGAAUGAAAAUCCACCUGCAACCACCGGUUUGAGGAAGAAGAUCCUGGGGACAUCCUUGGAAAGUAAUCUGAAGAUGGUUUUAGUGAUGUUCUUAUCUGCAAAUGUGGAAAAGCUGAUGCAACAGCCUGACAUAGAGAAGUCUGAUGAUUCACUCACCUUCUUGAAAUUCUUGGCUACUUGGAAAAUGAAGCUGCCAAGAAAACAAAAAAGUAUCCUGAAGUGACACCCAAGGGGAAAGCAGAAGUUGUGCAACGAUGAAGCCACACACUAGCUGGAACAGAUUUUUGGAAAGGUUUUUGGAAAAAUAAAUAACCAGAGGUAGCAGAAACAAUAUUCCAUCAUGCAUCAGCAACAGUCUGCAUGGUUCAGCUUCAGGGGACACCUCUGUCACCUAAGGAAUACAAGUGUCUCCUUCUUCAGUCUCUUUCACAUUUGAAAGAGCUUAGAGAUUGUAAAUAUUUGGAGGUUCUCUGGCACUGAACAAUUCCAAGAACUUGGCUGGGCAACUGUUGCCUGUGCCCAGAACUCAGCAGCUAUUUAACAAGCAAUGAGAAUAGACAAAAAAAAAAAAAAAAAAAA